UCCUGAUACUACACUAAGUAUUAAAGGUACUGCCUGCCCAGUGAAAAACUUAAACGGCCGCGGUAUUCUAACCGUGCAAAGGUAGCGUAAUCACUUGUCUUCUAAAUAAAGACUAGUAUGAACGGCUAAAUGAGGAUAAGCCUGUCUCCUACAGCCUAUCAGUGAAACUGAUCUUUCAGUCCAAAAGCUGAAAUACAAACACAAGACGAGAAGACCCUGUGGAGCUUAAGAUUAACUAUUAACAAGCCAAAAACGCCUAAUAUAAAAUCUUGAGUUGGGGCGACUUCGGAAUAAAGCAAAACUUCCGAGCAUAGAAGCACAACUUCUAACAAAGGCAGACAUGCCAAAGAACAUGUCCGACCCAGUCACACUGAUCAACGAACCAAGUUACCCCAGGGAUAACAGCGCUAUCUUCUCGAGAGUCCCUAUCGACAAGAAGGUUUACGACCUCGAUGGUUGGAUCAGGACACCCAAAUGGUGUAGCCGCUAUUAAAGGUUCGUUGGUUCAACGAUUAACAGUCCUACGUGAUCUGAGUUCAGACCGGAGUAAUCCCAGGUCGGU
rnacentral:rRNA from 1 species